rnacentral:rRNA from 1 species
AUUGAACGCUGGCGGCAGGCCUAACACAUGCAAGUCGAGCGGAUGAAGGGAGCUUGCUCCUGGAUUCAGCGGCGGACGGGUGAGUAAUGCCUAGGAAUCUGCCUGGUAGUGGGGGAUAACGUCCGGAAACGGGCGCUAAUACCGCAUACGUCCUGAGGGAGAAAGUGGGGGAUCUUCGGACCUCACGCUAUCAGAUGAGCCUAGGUCGGAUUAGCUAGUUGGUGGGGUAAAGGCCUACCAAGGCGACGAUCCGUAACUGGUCUGAGAGGAUGAUCAGUCAAAGUGGUAGUAGGCGAUGGUGUGGCAUACGACGGGAGGCAGCGGUGGGGAGUGGUGGCAGGGUGGGGAAAGCCUGAUCCGGCGAGGCGGGGUGUGGGAAGAAAGUGUUUGGAUUGUAAAGCAUUUUAAGGUGGGAGGACGGGCAGGACUGUAAUUGCUUGCUUGUUCUACGUAGCAAACAGAAUAAGCAACGGCUAAAUUCGGGCCGGAGGCGGCGGUAAUAACGGGAAGAGAAAGGGUCGGAAC